rnacentral:rRNA from 1 species
AACGAACGCUGGCGGCAUGCCUAACACAUGCAAGUCGAACGAGACCUUCGGGUCUAGUGGCGCACGGGUGCGUAACGCGUGGGAACCUGCCCUUAGGUUGGGAAUAACUCCCCGAAAGGGGUGCUAAUAUCGGAUAAUGUCUUCGGACCAAAGAUUUAUCGCCUUUGGAUGGGCCCGCGUUGGAUUAGCUGGUUGGUAGGGUAAAAGCCUACCAAGGCGACGUUCCAUAGCUGGUCUGGGAGGAUGAUCAGCCACGCUGGAACUGAGACACGGCCCAGACUCCUACGGGAGGGAGCAGUGGGUAAUAUUGGACAAGGGGCGAAAGCCUGAUGCAGCAAUGCCGCGUGAGUGAUGAAGGCCUUAGGGUUGUAAAGCUCUUUUACCCGGGAUGAUAAUGACAGUACCGGGAGAAUAAGCACCGGCUAACUCCGUG